GAUGAACGCUGGCGGCGUGCCUAAUACAUGCAAGUCGAGCGAACGGACGAGAAGCUUGCUUCUCUUAUGUUAGCGGCGGACGGGUGAGUAACACGUGGAUAACCUACCUAUAAGACUGGGAUAACUUCGGGAAACUGUAGCUAAUACCGGAUAAUAUUUUGAACCGCAUGGUUCAAAAUUGAAAGACUGUCUUGCUGUCACUUAUAGAUGGAUCCGCGCUGCAUUAGCUAGUUGGUAAGGUAACGGCUUACCAAGGCAACGAUGCAUAGCCGACCUGAGAGGGUGAUAGGCCACACUAGAACUGAGACACGGUCAAGACGACUAAGGGAGGCAGCAGUAGGGAAUCUUACGCAAUGGGCGAAAGCCUGACGGAGCAACGCCGCGUGAGUGAUGAAGGUCUUCGGAUCGUAAAAAUCUGUUAUUAGGGAAGAACAUAUGUGUAAGUAAAUGUGCACAUAUUGACGGUACCUAAUCAGAAAGCCACGGCUAACUACGUG
rnacentral:rRNA from 1 species